rnacentral:ncRNA from 1 species
CUAUUUUCAACAGGCACCAGCAAAAUCUGGUGCCGGGAUUGGCGUCCCGGUAA